rnacentral:rRNA from 1 species
GACAGAGGAGCCAAGCGUUGUCCGGAUUGACUGGGCGUAAAGCGCACGCAGGCGGUCGCGCGCGUGGGGUGUGAAAUCUGGCCGCUUAACGGCCAGGCGCCAUCCCAUACGGCGCGGCUGGAGCCAUGCAGAGGGCGGUGGAAUUGCCGGUGUAGUGGUGAAAUGCGUAGAUAUCUGGAGGAAUACCGGUGGCGAAGGCGGCAUCCUGGACCGGCAUUGACGCUGAGUGAGCGAAAGCCAGGGGAGCAAACGGG